rnacentral:rRNA from 1 species
UACGAAGGGGGCUAGCGUUGCUCGGAAUUACUGGGCGUAAAGGGCGCGUAGGCGGCACUGUUAGUCAGGCGUGAAAGUCCUGGGCUCAACCUGGGAACUGCGCUUGAUACGGCAGAGCUAGAGGAUGGAAGAGGCUCGCGGAAUUCCCAGUGUAGAGGUGAAAUUCGUAGAUAUUGGGAAGAACACCGGUGGCGAAGGCGGCGAGCUGGUCCGAAAUUGACGCUGAGGAGCGAAAGCGUGGGGAGCGAACAGG